GAUGUAAGUAAGUUAUUUCAGUUUUUUUCUUCAAAUAAGGCUGUAACGUAGCAAAAUGUGGAAAAAGUCGAGGGGUCUAAAUACUUUCCGAAUGCUCUGUAUACUCAGAAGUGGUAGAUGGGAUGCAUGCCUCCUGAGUCUGACUAGGGCCCCACUUCUUCCUCUUCUCCGGCAUUGGUGUUUUGGUGUAGACCCCGGGAUGAAUAGAGCUGCCUUGGGAAGUUCAAACAAUGGAUCCAGGUCAGGGAAGAUUCAUUUCUGGUGAGUGACCGCAGAUCUAAUAUUUCGGCUGUAGGUAAUAAUACAAGAAAUGCUUUCUGCAAAUAAUGUAAGAAAUGAAAGCAUAUAAAAAAAGUUGUCUAGGAGCUAGAAACAGGGUGACCAUGUAUGUCAGUGCCAUCUGAAGGAGGUGUGGAUAGUCUGUGGGAGAUCAGUACUUGUUAGCCAUUUAUAAACCUGCAUAUACCACACAACCUUGUCAGUAAUAAGAAUUGGGAAACUUGUUUAGUGCAAUGAUGUAUUGAUAGGAAGUAUCAAAUGGGGUUUAGCAUAAACAACAAAAUAAUAUUUCAAUAAAUCAAAAACAAAUGAAUAGUCCUGUCAGAGUUAGCAUCUCAAUUAGGAAACCGUAGUCCUAUUAGAACCUGUUGUUGAGCCUUUAAGUCCUUGAAUGGAUGUCCAACUCCAAAUAAAUAGUUGUUACUCCCCCAAGUGAAGAGGAUGGCUCUCAACUAUUCCACUAUUUUACCACCACAACAUUGGUUUGGGCAACGAAAGAGGCCUAAAAUCCCUCUUAGCCCACAACAAAAACAUGCUAGCCUUCCCCCACCAUGGACUUGCAGUCGAUUCAAGAUGGCCCCUGUGGCUUGGACACGCCCCACACCGCCCCAAUCAUAAUGGGUAACUAUCUUCACAAACAGUGUGUUAGUGUAGUCUUGGCCCAGUAUAUACCAACACAUUCUUUUCAUAUAUUCAUUAUUUAAUUUAUUUUAGGGGCAACGUUUCAUUUCAUUUUCACGUUAUGCUUUUUUGGUAACUCAUGUUACAGUAUUUUGGCCAGGGGAUAGAAGCUGUUUUGGAGCCUGUUGAUCUGAGCCUUGAUGCACCGGUACCGCCUGCCAGACGGAAGCAUGGAGAACAGUCCAUGUCUCGGGUAGCUGGAGUCUUUGGCAAUUCUUCGGGCCUUUCUCAGACACCUGGCAUGUACGUCCUGGAUAGCUGGAAGCUCACCCCCAGUGAUGCGCUGGGCCGUCCGCACCACCCUCUGUAGGGCUUUCCGGUCGAGGGCAGUACAGUUGCCAUACCAGACGGUAAUACAGCAAGUCAGGAUGCUCUCGCUGGUGCAGCUGUAAAAGGAUUUCAUCAUACGUGUCAAGCAGUGAAGUUUCAGUGCUGUCUGUCCGUGGCCUCUCUUCCUCGGUUCGCACUGUCAGUGUCCAGCUGUGUCUAUAACAUUUCAGGUUGAUGGCGGUGAAUGUAUUCUCCAUCUCUUCGGCUCUGGAGAACCUGAGUCGUCAUGAGAUGCUGUCCUGGGUCAACGACUCUCUACGGCUCACCUACACCAAGAUAGAACAACUGUGUUCAGGUGCAGUGUAUUGUCAGUUCAUGGACAUGUUGUUCCCUGGCUGUGUCCUGCUGAAGAAGGUGAAGUUCGCAGCCCGGCUGGAACAUGAGUUCAUCAACAACUUCAAGGUCCUACAGGCCUCCUUCAAGAGAAUGGGCGUAGACAAGAUCAUCCCAGUAGAGAGGCUGGUGAAGGGGAGGUUUCAGGAUAACUUUGAGUUCAUCCAAUGGUUUAAGAAGUUUUUUGAUGCCAACUACGACGGGAAGGAGUAUGACCCUGUGGCCACACGCCAGGGGCAGGAGGGCGCCCCCUCACCCAACCCAGGCCCCCAGAGGACAUCUCCCACAGUGACCAAGACAGCCCCCUCCAGGCAGAUAAACUCUGCCUCCAUCCGCAGGGCGAUGCCCACUAGAGCAACCAGACCAUCAGACGCUGAGAUCCUAGAACUGAACCAGCAGAUGUUGGAUCUGAAGCUGACGGUGGAUGGUCUGGAGAAAGAGAGAGAUUUCUACUUCAGUAAGCUGAGAGACAUCGAGUUGAUCUGUCAGGAGAAUGAGACCAACGCCAGCCCAACACUCUCCAAGAUCAUGGAUAUACUGUACGCUACUGAGUAGAGGGCGGUGUCCUGUGAUUACACACAGUCCUACAGGAGGAGCUGCUGCUCCAUCAACUAGAAGCUUCUAAAAGUCAUGUUCAAAAUAGGAGGGCGAGGUUGAGAAAGAGAAUACCUUCUCAGACAACUUACCUGAUCACUAAAGGAUGGCUUCAUGGCGCCAGAGUACGACAAGGUGGAGGAGGCGCCACAGGGAGACCAAGAAGAAUACUAAACACGCCUCCUUUCUCUGCACCACUCCACGCCUCCUUUCUCUGCACCACUCCACACCUCCUUUAUCUGCACCACUCCACGCCUCCUUUCUCUGCAUCACUCCACGCCUCCUUUAUCUGCACCACUCCACGCCUCCUUUCUCUGCACCACUCCACGCCUCCUUUCUCUGCACCACUCCACGCCUCCUUUCUCUGCACCACUCCACGCCUCCUUUCUCUGCACCACUCCACGCCUCCUUUCUCUGCACCACUCCACGCCUCCUUUAUCUGCACCACUCCACGCCUCCUUUCUCUGCACCACUCCACGCCUCCUUUAUCUGCACCACUCCACGCCUCCUUUCUCUGCACCACUCCACGCCUCCUUUCUCUGCACCACUCCACGCCUCCUUUCUCUGCACCACUCCACGCCUCCUUUCUCUGCACCACUCCACGCCUCCUUUCUCUGCACCACUCCACGCCUCCUUUCUCUGCACCAUUCCACGCCUCCUUUCUCUGCACCACUCCACGCCUCCUUUCUCUGCACCACUCCACGCCUCCUUUCUCUGCACCACUCCACGCCUCCUUUCUCUGCACCACUCCAUACCUCCUUUCUCUGCACCACUCCACGCCUCCUUUCUCUGCACCAUUCCACGCCUCCUUUCUCUGCACCACUCCACGCCUCCUUUCUCUGCACCACUCCAUACCUCCUUUCUCUGCACCACUCCAUACCUCCUUUCUCUGCACCACUUCCCUCCGUGGAUCACCUCUUCAAGAUUCUCAUCCUUCCCCUUCUCUUCUCCCAUCCUCUCCCAACCACCCCCCAAGACAUGUCUGCUCCGGACAGUUCAUCUGAAUGGGCAUUGUUAGCAGGAUGCUAGGCUACUAGCUAGCUCUGAACAGCGCCUCUGUAUGGGCGUUGUUAGCAGGAUGCUAGGCUAAUAGCUAGCUCUGAACAGUUCAUCUGUAUGGGCGUUGUUAGCAGGAUGCUAGGCUAAUAGCUAGCUCUACCAAAUAUGGUGAUGAGAUGAAGCACAGUGGCCGGCAGUGGGAGAAGUAUUUUGGCUGACAUUCUGCAAAUUUUCUCAUCAAUGAAACAUUUGACCUCUACAGUUUUUCUGUUUCCCAAACUAGAAUCUGUAACAAGCAGAGUGUACUGCGUUUUGUAGAAUUUAUCCUUUACGAAAGUUUCGAAGUAUUGUGUUGUUUAGAAAAAGUGUAAGGGUGAAUUGAGUUAUUGCACACACGCACUUCAGAGUAGGCGUUCCCUAAUGGAAAUAUGCAAAUAAAUGCCAGAAUGUGCCAAUAGGAUCUCACUAGCUCGUGGUUGGCUCUGCCCACUAUGGUUUAUUUGCUCCCAUUGGAAAUGACAGACUCCUGUCUAUCUUGGGUUAGUUAUAAAAAAUCUUUGGUUAAUCUGUAUGGGAGGUGUUAGCAGGGUGCUAGGCUAAUGGCUAGUGUAAAGGAGAUGUCAGGUUGUUAGCACAAAGUAUGGCUCUAUAGAGCCCUCUCCCUAUAGAUGCAGGUCACACAUCAAACUCCAUCAUCUCUGAACCCAGAACCAAGUCUCGCAUGCUUCUCUCAUAUUGGAAAGAGACUCACUCCACUGACUCACUGGCCCAGUUCAGCAUUAGGGCUCGGCCUCUGCCUACCAUACACAUAUCAGUCAUCAGUCCCUGCAUUAAUAAUAUGGGCUCAGCAGCACCACCAUGUUGUCAGUUGUCAAGUCACUCUGUCGUCAGGGAAACAGCCUGUUGUAAAGAAGCGAUUAACCAGACGGCAUGAUUUUAUUUCUUUAGCGGUUAUUUUCCGUUCCUUCCGAACUCUGGAUUGGAUAAGGGAGGGUGGAGAAGCUUGCACCAAUGGAAGCAAAACAAACCAAUCAGAAUGAUCCAGAAACCUACAUGUAAGGUGAUUGGGUGAGGCCAGCAGGAAGCAGGGGUCUCUAUUCAGCAGGGAGCAACGUUAUAUAACAUUCAGAACUGGAUUACAGUAGAACAGACUCAACUGACAGACUCAACUGUCUGCAACAGUCUGCGGGUGUUAACCACUGAAUUCACCCUGGGUUAAAUUGUUGUAUUGUUUUGAAUGUGGAGUUAGUUAGCAUAAACAUGGAGUGGCUAACAGGUUAACAAGGUGGUUAAUGUGAAUCUAUUUAUUACCCAGAGAAGGCUUUUAUUAUGAAGCUAUAUGAAUGAACAAAAACACACUACUAUACCAUAGAUACUAAUGGGUGAAUGUGGAUUAUUGUUUUAGCUGCUGUCUUUGAUUUAGAGUUUUUUUGGGGGGUUGUUGACGUGUUGUUGUUGACAUGUUGCACUGUGUUAAAAACACCACAGUCUCUGUCAUGGUGAUGGGGAGCAGGACUUAGUGGUGACUGACAGCUGCCCCUGGUUGUCAUGGCAGCCCUGUGAUAGACAUGCAAUGUUUGUCAUUUUAUUACGAUGCUGAAUAAAGAGAUGGGUUCAAAACCAGAAGGAA